AUGGCGACCGGCGCACGGGUGAGUAACACGUAUCCAACCUUCCGUUUACUCAGGGAUAGCCUUUCGAAAGAAAGAUUAAUACCUGAUAGUAUGGUGAGAUUGCAUGAUAGCACCAUUAAAGAUUUAUUGGUAAACGAUGGGGAUGCGUUCCAUUAGGUAGUAGGCGGGGUAACGGCCCACCUAGCCGACGAUGGAUAGGGGUUCUGAGAGGAAGGUCCCCCACAUUGGAACUGAGACACGGUCCAAACUCC
rnacentral:rRNA from 1 species